rnacentral:sRNA from 1 species
AUAUUUGAGGGUUAAACCGAGAAUUAAGACUUACAAGUCUUGGGAUAAUCACUCUAUAAGAAACACUUUAUUGUGGUUUGGUUCACUUUUAAACCUUACUAGAUAUUUUCUAAAAGUUAGUAUACAUAAAAGUUUACAAAUUGUAUCUAUCUAUAAAAAAAAUUAUUUUAUAGUUUACAAUUGUUAUUAAGUAACGUCUUGCCAAACCCGUCCCGCCAACCCGUCCCGUAAAAAACUAUUUAUUUUAUUAAUAUUGAUCUUAUUUAUGAUAUGUUUAUGAAUUAUUGUCUAAAUAUUUUGUAAUUUUGUAGUAAUUAAAUGCUAUCAAAUAUCUCUGCGGUUUGAUGAUUAUAAUCGAAUUAUUAUAGUCAUGGAGAAAAGCAAUAUCAAAAAUAAUAAUUUUGUAAUAAUUAAAUGAUAUUAAAUAUU